UCCUACGGGACGCAGCAGGGAAUAUUGCACAAUGGGGGGAACCCUGAUGCAGCGACGCCGCGUGAGUGAAGAAGUAUUUCGGUAUGUAAAGCUCUAUCAGCAGGGAAGAAGAUGACGGUACCUGACUAAGAAGCCCCGGCUAACUACGUGCCAGCAGCCGCGGUAAUACGUAGGGGGCAAGCGUUAUCCGGAUUUACUGGGUGUAAAGGGAGCGUAGACGGCAGGGCAAGUCUGGAGUGAAAGCCCGGGGCCCAACCCCGGGCCGGCUUUGGAACCUGCC
rnacentral:rRNA from 1 species